GCCAUUGACUGGAAGAGUCUACUUUUUCACUAAUUAGAGAUCCUAGCAAACACGUACGCCUUCUGAUUCCUUCUCCAACGCAGCUAAACGGAAAUAUAAUAAUUCGAGACUUUUCGCCAAACCAGUGCAGGUCCCAAGAAUGUCAGACACAGAAGAACAUACUUAUGAGGAGACGCUGCCCUCGUUUGAGGAUUUGCAGCAGCGUAAGGAGCAUAAGCUGGAAGAUGAUAUGAAGGAAUACACCGAGAUGAGGAAGGCCGAGAAGGAACGCGAGGCACAGGACAUAGCGGAGCUCAAGAAGAAAAGGGCUGAGCGUCAGUUGGAACGUGUGGAGGAGGAGAAGAGGAUGGCAGAACAGCGACGUGAAGAAGAGGCACGCAGGAAGGUUGAGGAGGAGGAGCGUAAGCGUCGUAAGACUGAGGAAGAGGAGAAGCGUCGUCGGGAGAAGGAGCGUCGCCGUCAGGAGGCAGAGAAAAGGAAAGGACCCAAGACUCCCAACUUUACCAUUGUGAAGAAGGAAGGUGGUGGCUCCUCAGAAGAGGACACUGAGAAGAAGGCUCCUCAGAAGACUAAGGAAGACCUUGAACGCGAAAAGAAGGCUGAGCUGUCCAAGCGGAUGGGCCCCCUUCCGGACAUUGGUUCCCUGAACCAGGAGCAGCUCAAGGAGAAGGCCAAGGAGCUGCAUGACCAGAUUUGGAAUGUUGUCAGCAACAUGUACAACAUGAUGGAGAGGUACAAGAGACAGCAGUAUGACAUUGUGGAGCUUCAAGAAAGAGCACGUGCCAUGAGCAAAACGAAGAAGAGGGGCCUUGCAAGUGUUCAGGUGGAUGACUCAUAUGACAGAAUGAAUGACAGAUUUGGAAACGCACCACCCAAAAUCCUGCUGUGCAGUAAAUAUGAGAGGCAUACAGACCAGCGCUCUUUUGACCAACGCUACAAAUUGUAUGAAGAACUUUCUGCUGAUAAGCCCCUCCCAGAAAUGUUGAGGCUUCAGGCUUACGGACCAGAUAGCCAAGAAGAAUAACAUUGCCACGACAACGGUUGCCAAGGAGGAUAUUGAUUUAAGCCUGAAAACAUUUUAUGCGUUUGCAUAGAUAUCCACCUCUUUUCGUGCUUUCUUCUCUGUGUUCUGCUGUCACCAUGACAACCAACAAAUACCUCAUCAAUUGCGUUGUCCAUUAUCAGUGUGUCAGUCUGAGUUUUCAGUGUCUCGUCAUCGAUCCUUGGACAAUCUUCUCACCAUCAGAGUGCCUUAAUUUUCAAGCUUUCGACACAAAAUUGUGCUUCAUACCAAAAGCUUUAGUUUUCAAGCUUUCGAAAAAAAAUCAUGCUAAAUUGCAUCUCAAACUGUUUAUAUGAGGAUUCUUUUGGAAGUUUUAUGGAUGUAAAACUUUUUAGACGUUUAAUUUUUUGGCUUAAGUUUGUUUUAUUAUAUGCCUUUUUUAUGUAUGAGUUCAUGUUAAUGAUAUAUCUGUUAACCUUGGCAACCGUUGAUGUUUCUUUUCUUAUGUUUUACAAAUUUGUAUAAAUAUUUAUUGUGUAACUGUGUAUAUAGUGUGUUGACUUUUGUUUAAAUCUUUAAAAUUCUUUUCUUGAAAACCAAACUAAUUUUAUUGAAAUACAAAGUUGUAAUUUGGUUUGUAUAGUGAUCAACUAAGUUGUUAUUGUGUUUGAAUAGUGAAAAGGUUUUAAAUAGGGUAUUUCUUUUUUAAAAGUCAAUGUAGAAUUAACAACAUAAUAGUAGAUAUUUUAAAUUGAUUGAACAAAUAUUAACUCUGUCUCUUGUAUGUAUGUGAUCAUCUGUGUAUAAUACACUGUCUAGCUGCUAAAAUGUUGCUCCUUGUAUGUAUGCCUGUUAACAACCGAUGUAUUAACAAUAAAGUUAAAAAACUAAAAAUC